CACCGCUGCACUCUAGCCUAGGCAGCAAAGCAAGACUCCCAUUAAAAAAAAAAAAAUCAUGGAUUGAUCUGUUUCUUUUUUCAGUUCUUUUUUUUCAUGUGUUUUGAAGCUCUACUGUUAGGUAAUAUACAUUUAGUAUGUUAUGUUUUCUUGAUGAAUUGACCCUUCACCAUUAUGUAAUGUCUCUCUGUAUCCUUGGUGGUUGUUUUUGCUCUGAAAUCUACUUUGUCUGAUAUUAAUAUAUCUACUCUAGCUUGUUUUUGAUUCAUGUUGACAUGGUAUAUCUUUUUUACAUUUUGCUUUUAAUCUAUUUAUAUAAUUAUAUUUGAUUUGAAUGAUCUGUAGAUAGCACAUAAUUGGCUUUUUAAAAUAAUGCAAUCCUUAUAAUCUCUGUUUUUAGUUGAUACAUUUAGAACAUUCAUAUUUAAUAUAAUUAUUAAUAUGCUAUUCUUUAGAUAAAUCAUUUUAUUAUCUAUUUUUUGUUUUCCUAACCUUUCUAAGUUAUUUGAACAUGUUUUAGUAUUCCAUUUUAAUUUAAUUAUUGUGCUUUUGACUCUGUCUUUGUAUAUAUAUUUUUAGUGGCUCCUCUGCCAGAUAUAUGUAUUGCGCAUAUUUUCUCCCUCCGUCUGUUGCUUGACUUUUUAUUUCCUUAGCCAUGUCUUUCUGAGCAGAAGUUUUAAAGUUUAAUUUCUCUGAAUGGUGUUGCUUUCUAUGCUCUAUUUAAGAAAUCUUUUUCUACCCUCAGUUUGCAAAGAUAUUUUCUCAUGUUUUCUUCUAGAAGUUUUAUAGUUUUAGCUUUUAUGUUCAUGCCCACAAUCAAUUUCUAGUUACUAUUUGUAUAUGAUGUGAUGUGGGAGUCAGAGUCCAUUUUUUCUUACAGUUCACUCUUCAGUUAUUCCAUCACCACUUUUGAAAAAGAUUUUCCUUUGGCUCUUGAAAUACCUUGCCAUCUUUGUUGAAAAUCAAUUGACCAUAUAUGCGUAGGCCUAUUUCUGCAUUUUAUGUUGUGUGCCAUUGUUUGACUACCCUUAUAUCAAUUUUAAUUACUACUGAAAUUUUGUAUUCAUGGGCAAUUUACUUUUGUUUUUCUAGUUAUAUUUUAUUUCCAACUGCAUCUUCAUCAGUUUUCUUAAGAAUGCUUUGAGCCUUUCUUUUUGCUGUUUGUAGUAUAUUUAUAUACAUGCUUGCUGUUUGUCAUAUUGCUCAGCUUAAUAUGUACAGCUUUAUCUACUACUAUUAUUUGUUUUGACAAAAUAAAGCUGAUUUCUUUCCCGUGUUAAAUGAGACCUAUUUGCCUUUCUCUCUGAGCUGCAGUUUGAAGACAUUGAGUAUUAUAUGUAAGUUUUCUAUGAUCUGAAGGUGCUUGGUAGGUAAAGGGGUAUGAGGAUGGAGAUUGGCUGAGCCCGAGGGUAGCCUGUUUUGAGAAACCUGAGCUGUGCUUUCUCUUCUGAGAUUUAGUUAAAGGUCUUAAACCAGGGCCUGUCUCCUCAGGGUGUGUCUUUUCCCAUGGGUUGGAGGCUAGUCUCAGGUUUGAAGCAUUUCCCUGGUUCAUAGAGAACUGCCCAAAGAACAUGCUCUUAUCGGUUUUGAUGGCCUCAGCUGAGGUCUAGAGCUACUGCAGCGAUGGUUAAGACUCAUCUGUACCAAUGCCAUUUUGCUUGAGUUUUCUACGCUAUUAUCCAUUUCCUCAUCUUGCUUUUCUUGAAACUGGAGUCUAUGAGUGAGAAUUAUCAGUAUAUUUUCAUCUUCUGUAGGCCAGGCAUUCUGCAAAAGUCAUUUCUUUUCUUUUUUGAGGUUGAUGGAUGAAGUUUUAUCUACUUCCUUUUUCUUUUUUCUUGGGGCGGGAGGGAGAGGAGAAGGCUGUUUUUUCAUCAGUGUGUUAGGUAUUAAUGAAAUGUGGCUGGACCCUGGUCCUCGUGCUCUGCCGUAUUUAACACAGAUGUUGCACAGCAUGGCUUAUCCCUUCUUUUCUGCCUUUUAUAAAUUUACCUUCUGAUUUUGUAUUUCAUAUACCAUAUUAUUGACUUGAGUUUUAUGCUUUUCCCAAGUACUGACUGCAGAACUAGUUCUUUGAAAAUUGGGACAUUGUUACCAGGAAAUAGAAGUGGCAGUAAAGAGAACCAAAGUCUUAGAUAAACUAUACUCUGGGGAAACUGGGGUUUAUUUUUAAGGAAAAUUGAAUUAUAAGUGCUCAUUGUGUCUAGGAAAGAAGUGAGUAAGAAGAUAAUUUAAUAUCUGAAAGAAGCGGCUUGCUGAAUAUAAUGCUCUUACUGACCUGACAAUAAAGGAAUGAGCUGAAGAAGAAACAUUAAUGUCUUCCUUUCCUGGAAGACAUGGGAUAUAUUCAGAAGAAAUAUUUUAAUUUCAUUGCCAACAGUGAUUUCAAAAGUAUCUAAUACGAUGGGCCUUGGAAAGAGUGGUAUGUCAUCUUUUGUGUUGCUGCUUGUUUCUGUGGCAUUUUCUAGAUCUUUAUUUCUGAUUUAGCAGACGGUUUGCUCUAACUAGACAAAAGAGUCCUCCAUGGAUAAGGUUACACAAAAACAGCACGUUUAGACGACAGCCUGCGUCGGUGACAUUUUGCUGUAGGCCUCUUUGUUAGAAGCUUCUCUUACUGCAGAAACACCGUUGGGGAUUAGUGGCUCACAGCAUCUCCAAUGGAAGCAAAAACUACCAGAAAAUGGGAAAUGGAGCCAGAAACCACAAACAAAAGAGACCAUGGCAGUACUACACAGUGGGCCAAUUUUCAGAUGGUCAGUCUUUCUCAGCAGUCAUGAUGAGGAGGCACUUGGAGCCAGUUAUCCUGAAUUUUGCAACAUAUCAAUUACCUCCUUUGUCUCUUCUUCAGUAUUCUGCUUUCUUCACUUAAACCUUCUCUUUAGCUUAUGAACGCCAAACAGUCUUCCUGCCCUAUGAAAAAUCCUGUCUGAUUUUACUGCUGCCCUUCGCUCUGUGCUGAUUCUGCUCAGUGCCAGCUUGGUUGAACGCAGCUCCAGUCUUGCUUCCUUUGGUGUUUUUUCGGGUUGUGUUGAUAGAUGACUGUGGGCCAGGCCCCAGAUCGUCCCUUUCUUCCUUAAAUGUUGGUGAACUGAGAGAGAAGGGGCAUUUGGCACUCUGUACCCAUCUCUCCCUGGGUGGCCUUGUCCCAUCCCAGGCUUCAGCCAUCACCUCUGUGGGUGGUACCUAAAUCUCUGUUCCCAUUCCUAUCCCUUCUCCUGAGCUCCAUGGCACAUUUUCAGCCACAGUUAAAAACAUACCUGGUUGUCCCAUAAACAUCUCAAGGUCACCACAUGCACUGUGAAGCUCGCCUUCAUUCACGUCAGCAUCUCCCAUGGUGAGGGUGCUGUUCUGACAGCUGCGUCCUCCUGACAUUUCAGGCUUGGAAACGCUGUAGGAGACUUCGGUUCUUCCCUCUCCUUUCCUCACUGUCCUACCCACCUGCUGUGCUCCCUGUUCCUGUCCCCAUACCAUCAGUCACUAACAAUUAAUUUUCCCCUCUGCAAUUUCUCCUGCAUUGGUCCUAAAUCCCUUCUAUUCUCUCUAUUACCCGCCUUCAUUCAUGUUCUCUUGCCAGCACAUUGCUAGUGCUUCCUAAAUAGUCUUUCUCCAUCAUCUCCCUUCCUUUAAUCCCCUUGACUCUUCUGUCCAGAUUUCCCACCUUGACACAGAUGUCUCUGAUCCUACCAGCCCCCUUUUCCUGCCUUUCCUACUCAUUCAGGAGCUUUCAAUGGUGCAUGCCCUUUGAUUGACAUUUUCCACUUCUGCUAGGAUUUAUCUUGCAGAAUUACACAAAUGUGUGUGCACAAAUUCUGACACACAGUUUACUGACAUAUUUGCUGUCAUGUUUGGUAACAGCAAAAGUGGGUAGUAACCUCUAUGUCCAUCAAUAGGGCACUGCUUAAAUAAAUUACGGUAUAGUCAUCUAAUGCAUAGAAUAGCCUGUGGCUAUUAAUAAUAAUGAGGUAUGUGUCUAUUUGCUGAUAUGGAACAAACUCCAAGGUAUGUUGGUAAUUUUUU